rnacentral:rRNA from 1 species
CUUUACUGUAGCUUUGUAUUGGACUUUGAACAGAUCUGUGUAGGAUAGGUGGGAGGCUUUGAAGUGAGGAUGCUAGUUCUCAUGGAGCCAACGUUGAAAUACCACCCUGGUGUGUUUGAGGUUCUAACCUAGGUCCAUUAUCUGGAUCGGGGACAGUGCAUGGUAGGCAGUUUGACUGGGGCGGUCUCCUCCCAAAGUGUAACGGAGGAGUUCGAAGGUACGCUAGUUACGGCCGGACAUCGUGACGAUAGUGCAAUGGCAUAAGCGUGCUUAACUGCGAGACUGACAAGUCGAGCAGAUGCGAAAGCAGGACAUAGUGAUCCGGUGGUUCUGUAUGGAAGGGCCAUCGCUCAACGGAUAAAAGGUA